rnacentral:rRNA from 1 species
CAGCCCCCGAGUGGUGGGGAUGAUUAUUUGGCCUAAAGCGUCCGUAGCCGGCCGGGUAAGUCUCCCGUUAAAUCCAGCGUCUCAAGCGUUGGACUGCGGGAGAUACUGCCUGGCUAGAGAGUGGGAGAGGUCAGCGGUAUUCUGGGGGUAGGGGUGAAAUCCUAUAAUCCCGGGAGGACCACCAGUGGCGAAGGCUGUCGACUAGAACGCGCCCGACGGUGAGGGAUGAAAGCUGGGGGAGCGAACCGGAUUAGAUACCCGAGUAGUCC